rnacentral:rRNA from 1 species
UACAGAGGUCCCGAGCGUUGUUCGGAUUCACUGGGCGUAAAGGGUGCGUAGGCGGUCGGGUAAGUCUGAUGUGAAAUCUCACAGCUUAACUGUGAAACUGCAUUGGAUACUAUUCGGCUUGAGAGUUGGAGGGGGGACUGGAAUUCUUGGUGUAGCAGUGAAAUGCGUAGAUAUCAAGAGGAACACCAGUGGCGAAGGCGAGUCCCUGGACAACUUCUGACGCUGAGGCGCGAAAGCUAGGGGAGCAAACAGG